rnacentral:rRNA from 1 species
AGAGUUUGAUCAUGGCUCAGAUUGAACGCUGGCGGCAGGCUUAACACAUGCAAGUCGAGCGGAAACGAUACCAGCUUGCUGGUAGGCGUCGAGCGGCGGACGGGUGAGUAAUACUUAGGAAUCUACCUAGUAGUGGGGGAUAGCACGGGGAAACUCGUAUUAAUACCGCAUACGACCUACGGGAGAAAGGGGGCAGUUUACUGCUCUCGCUAUUAGAUGAGCCUAAGUCGGAUUAGCUAGAUGGUGGGGUAAAGGCCUACCAUGGCGACGAUCUGUAGCUGGUCUGAGAGGAUGAUCAGCCACACCGGGACUGAGACACGGCCCGGACUCCUACGGGAGGCAGCAGUGGGGAAUAUUGGACAAUGGGGGCAACCCUGAUCCAGCCAUGCCGCGUGUGUGAAGAAGGCCUUUUGGUUGUAAAGCACUUUAAGCAGUGAAGAAGACUCCGUGGUUAAUACCCACGGACGAUGACAUUAGCUGCAGAAUAAGCACCGGCUAACUCUGUGCCAGCAGCCGCGGUAAUACAGAGGGUGCAAGCGUUAAUCGGAAUUACUGGGCGUAAAGGGAGCGUAGGUGGCUCAAUAAGUCAGAUGUGAAAUCCCCGGGCUCAACCUGGGAACUGCAUCUGAUACUGUUGAGCUAGAGUAUGUGAGAGGAAGGUAGAAUUCCAGGUGUAGCGGUGAAAUGCGUAGAGAUCUGGAGGAAUACCGAUGGCGAAGGCAGCCUUCUGGCAUAAUACUGACACUGAGCUCGAAAGCGUGGGUAGCAAACAGGAUUAGAUACCCUGGUAGUCCACGCCGUAAACGAUGUCUACUAGUCGUUGGGGACUUGAUUCCUAGUGACGCAGCUAACGCCAUAAGUAGACCGCCUGGGGAAGUACGGCCGCAGGUUAAAACUCAAUUGAAUUGACGGGGCCCGCACAAGCGGUGAGCAUGUUGUUUAAUUCAAUGCAACGCGAAG